UACGUAGGGUGCGAGCGUUAAUCGGAAUUACUGGGCGUAAAGCGUGCGCAGGCGGCUUACUAAGACAGGUGUGAAAGCCCCCGAGCUUAACUUGGGAAUGGCGCUUUGUGACUGGUAGGCUGGAGUGUGGCAGAGGGAGGUGGAAUUCCACGUGUAGCAGUGAAAAUGCGUAGAGAUGUGGAGGAACACCGAUGGCGAAGGCAGCCUCCUGGGCCAGCACUGACGCUCAUGCACGAAAGCGUGGGGGAGCAAACAGG
rnacentral:rRNA from 1 species